rnacentral:rRNA from 1 species
GACGAACGCUGGCGGCGUGCUUAAUACAUGCAAGUCGAGCGACGAAGCAGUGGUGGGUAACCACCGCUGUGGAAAGCGGCGAACGGGUGAGUAACACGUGGGUAACGUGCCCCGGACUUCGGGAUAACAACGGGAAACCGUUGCUAAUACCGGAUAACCCUCGCGGACCGCAUGGUCUGCAAGGCAAAGCUCCGACGGUCCGGGAUCGGCCCGCGGCCUAUCAGCUUGUUGGUGGGGUAACGGCCUACCAAGGCGAUGACGGGUAGCUGGCGUGAGAGCGUGACCAGCCACACUGGGACUGAGACACGGCCCAGACUCCUACGGGAGGCAGCAGUAGGGAAUCUUGCGCAAUGGGCGAAAGCCUGACGCAGCGACGCCGCGUGAGGGAUGAAUGCCUU